GGAUGAACGCUAGCGGCAGGCCCCUCUUCCCAUUCCGAACAGAGCAGUCAAGCCCGCCAGAGCCGAUGGUAUUGCCGUAACAGGUGGGAGAGUAGGUCGGUGCCUUUUU
rnacentral:rRNA from 2 species